UUCUACGCCCCCGGCCCCGCCCGUGGACCCGCCUCCAGCUCCGCCCUCGGCGCGGAGCGGAACUCGCGGAGCCCGGCCGGUGGAGCAAGAUUAUCUAAAGGACUCUUUGGCAGAAGAGUUGUCAGAUGAUGAUGAUGAUGAUGAUGAUGGUGAUUUUGCCUGAGAGAAUAAAACUAAGACCCCAGUCACCAAGAUAUGGAAGCAGCCCAAGUGUUCAUCAAUAGGGCCUGCCAUGUCAGUGUGGUGCAUGGAACAGCAACGGCGGCAGAAGCAUGCGGGAGCUUGUUACAAACGCAGACUGUCAGGGCCCCACCUCAGACCUACGAAUCAGAAUCUGCAUUUUAACGAGACCCCCCAACGAAUUCCUGUGGACAACACAUACAAAGAAGUGUCGCCAUCGAGGGAGCCUCAGAAGACGCUGCCGCCUGCCUCAUCUAGGUCUCUGGAGGUCCAUCAGCUCUCUUUCUCUUCCUUUAUAGUCCCGGAGCCUCGAAACCUCAAUUCCCAGUCGAAAAGUGAUCACCUGAGACCUCCAGCUUCUUCCUUUCCCCAUGCUCACCCGCAGACUCCGGGCUGCCUCUCCAUCCCGCUGCACCCCGGGCCACCUGUUCUGGGUCCCUCCAGGCGGUGCUGUGCCAAGCCUUCCAGGGUCCGGAGCGCCUUCACGCUCCUAAGGCUCCGCCGCACCCACUGACCGGAAAGGUAAACUGAGUGCCCGCGAGUCGCGUCUCGAGGAGCGACCGCGAGAACAAGACUCGUGAUUCCAUUUUCUAGAGGGGUGGGGAGAGUUUGAGGCCGUUUGAAGGCUUUGGGUACACUUGUCACCCCCUCAGAGAACGCGUCUCAGGAGCCCCCUUUCCCACGGCGCCACUCUCCCACUGUCGGGAUGUCGGCCCCCGGAGCAAGGCCAAUUUGACUCUGCCUUUCAGGGCGGCCUUGGGCCCCGACUCAGAGCCGCAGCUGGGCGGAGGGAGCUAUCACCCCGCGGUCCCGUAGCCCUUCAAGUCCAGGCGCUGCGCCGGAGGCGCCCGCGCCAGUCGCCAGCUCCUUGGGCUGGGUCUCGGGAACCCGAGGAGAUAGACCCAUCCCGGCGCUGUGUGCUUACCUGCCGGUCCCCACAAACGGGCUGGCUACUGGCGCCCUCCUGCUCUCCUUUUCCCCUUUUCUCUCUCUGCCGUCCCUCCUCCCGC